UGUCACCUCCAGUUUCCAUUUUAAAUUGUAAAAUUUCCAAAUUUGGAGACAAGCAGAUAUUUUUCUCAUCUUGAAAAGGAGGAGCGAGCGUUAGCUAGCUGAUUAGCCGUAGGUGGGAAACGAACCAUCUCUAAUAAAAACAGUAACUUUUAGAGAAACUCUGGGGAAGUUCUGUAGUCCCACCCUGCCCCGUGACCUUUCAUUCUCUUAGUUCUUCUGCCACAGAGAAGCACCGAUCGACUAAUAAAAGAUUUGAUCUUGCUAUAAUUUCCCAAGCAGUUUCUGUGUCUGCUUUCUGAUUCAUUAUCAUGAAGGACAUCAUUAAUAACCAUCCUCAGGAGAGGACCAUGAGAGGUAAGUUCAAGAUAUGAAGCCUUAAAAUGUUUAAUUUUGCUUUUCCUCCUGUUUAGUAUCAAGCGGGGUUUAGAAUUUUAUAUUCUGAAUAUGUUGUCUACUGAAUUCUGAAGUCAUUUUUUAUUGUGGGAUAUUAACAAGUAAUGAUGAAAUAAUUGUAAAGGAAGUUUUAGAUUUAUCUAUUUGUUGUACUGAAAUUUCAGGUAUCUAAAAGUACCCUUUUUUACAUCUAUUUUUUUAUUUUCCUAUGGGCCUUCUCUUUGGUUUUGGGAUAUUAACAUUAAGUUAUAGGUUAGUUAUGAGCUGAUUACGCAGGACUCUGUGAAAAUUAAAAUUUUAAACUGACUAUGCUUUCUAAAUAUUUGUCUACUAGUCUGCCAAACACCCUUGUUGUUAUUCAAUAUUGGUAAUACAGAAUAGAUGGAUUCAUAUAUGUUCUAGUAAGUAUAAGCAAGCAUAAAAUAAAUACUCACAAGAAAUACUCUUG
rnacentral:lncRNA from 1 species